rnacentral:rRNA from 1 species
GAUGAACGCUGGCGGCGUGCUUAACACAUGCCAGUCGAACGGAAAGGCUCCUGCUUGCAGGGGUACUCGAGUGGCGAACGGGUGAGUAACACGUGGGUGAUCUGCCCUGCACUUCGGGAUAAGCCUGGGAAACUGGGUCUAAUACCGGAUAGGACCACAUUUUGGAUGGUGUGGUGGAAAGUUUUUCGGUGUGGGAUGAGCUCGCGGCCUAUCAGCGUGUUGGUGGGGUAAUGGCCUACCAAGGCGUCGACGGGGAGCCGGCCUGAGAGGUUGUACGGCCACAUUGGGACUGAGAGACGGCCCAGAGUCCGACAGGAGGCAGCAGUGGGGAAUAUUGGACAAUGGGCGAAAGCCUGAUGCAGCGACGCCGCGUGGGGGAUGACGGCCUUCGUGUUGUAAGCACCUCUCGCUAGGGACGAAGCGUUUUUGUGACGGUACCUGGAGAAGAAGCACCGGCUAACUACGUG